UGUGGGUGGUGGAAGAGAAACUCUAAACUGUACAGAAUCAGAAAGUUCAGUCAUCAAACCCAUAAAACCAUAAGAGGAUUCCAUUAGAACAACAACGUGUAAAAAUAGAAGCUCCUUUCUAGCAGGCAUUUGCUUCAAUGCACAGGGCAGGCCGGAUUCUUAACCACCACACUCUCCUUCCUCUCUGAGCAGCCUGCAUUUGUCCCGCCCUGGAGGAGAGGCAAAGACUAAAAAGCCAUCCCUUUACCAAGGGGGCUCACAUCCUGAGGAAUAAGGUGAUACAGAGGAAUGAUGUCGUGCUGCCCAAGGUUACUCUUUCCAUGGUCCCAUCUGGGACAGUGGAGGUCACCAGGAUGUACCUUGUCGACCCCGUUCUGCAGACCAUAGAUAAUGCACCUAUGGUAGCCCCAACUGCCGGGCUGAGCCGAGGCCACGCCCCCAGAGAAAGCUCCCAGCCAAUGAGUGCACAUGUAGGGGCUCUAAGGAGGGCCUGCCCAUUCCUAGGAGACCCAGGGCUCCCAGCAUGGUUGACCUGGGUAUGAGGAUGCCCCAUCAUCAUUGUUCUUGUAUCAAUACUGUCCACCCAUAGCCUUCUCUCCUCCUUUUCCUGUCACUCAAGGUCAAGGUCUGAUAACUCUUCCAGCCUGGUCAGGCUUCCUCUUUGUUUUCCUUCUCAUUGGCAUUUCCUCUAAUAAAAUCCCUGAAUGUUUAAUCCUGUCUUAGUCUGCUUUUGGAGAAUUUGGACUAAUGCAUUGAACUUAUGGAGGUUCAGUCACCUCUUUUUAAAGGGGACGAAACUCAGGACCAAGGACAAAAAGAAUGUCCAAAGUCAGGCCAGGCACAGUGGCUCACAACUGUAAUUCCAGCACUUUGGGAGGCUGAGGUGGCUGGAUCAUGAGGUCAGGAGUUUGAGACCAGCAUGAACCACAUGGUGAAACCCUGUCUCUACUAAAAAUACAAAAAUUAGCCAGGCGUUUUGGCACGUGCCUGUAGUCCCAGUUACUCGGGAGGAUGAGGCAGGAGAAUCACUGGAACCAAGAAGGAGGAGGUUGCAAUGAGCUGAGAUAAUAACACUGCGCUCCAGCCUGGGAAACAGCACGAGAUUCUGUCUCAAAAAAAAAAAAAAAGAAAAGAAAAGAAUGCCUAAGGUCAGUGGGGGAAAUGGCAGCAGAGCUGGGAUCGGAAUUUCGUCUCCUGACUCACUCAGAUAAAGCUUGGUGUGGUGCAUGAUCUGACACGACGUUGGGGAGGAGUUUCAGGAUGAUAGGGUAUUCAGAGGGGAAACUAGGGAGCUGGUUGUGGGACAGUCUGGGGGAAGGGUUAGUGCAGGGUCCCGACAGAGGGAAGGGUUAGUGCAGGGUCCCAGGGCAAGAGUGGCCCUGCAGUGUUUAAUGGAAGUAGACUGGGUCUCCUAUAAGGUUCAUGAGGGAUAGGGGUGCCGGGAGUCAAGAGGUGAUGUCAGUGGGGAGGACAGGGCUGCUGCCCUAGACCCAGGCAGGAGUUCAGAUUUUUUUCUAAAUGGAGUGGGGCCCCAUUUGAAUGCUUUAAGUUGAAGCCUGCUGUGACCCAACUUACAUUUUGAAGCCACUCUGGCCAUCAUGGGAAGGAUGCACAGAGAGAAUGCUGCACCUGUUAUGAGCCUGGUGCUCACUUCUAAAUAAGGAAGCCGGAUCAGGGUCAGGAGGCUGCUGCUGUGCCCAGGUGAGAGAGACAGCUUUGGCUUAGGCCUUGCAGAGUGAGAUGCAACGGUCAAACUGCAGAGGGAAUGCUAGGAGAAUUACACUGUGUGGAACUGGAUGAUGGAGCCAAUGAUGAGGUGUGGCGGGGGGGUGUGGAUAAAGAAUCUGAGUGUCCCAGGUUUCUUGGCUGCUUGUGUAUUCACUAAGAAAUGGUCAUUGAGACUUUACACUUCCAGAAACUCUGUGGGAUACUGACAUAGAAAGGGCUUCUCUGAUCAAAAGCUGCAUGUAGUGACUCACACCUGUAGUCCCAGCACCUUGGGAGGCCGAGGCAGGAGGAUCACUUGAGCCCAGAAUUUCAAGACCAGCCUGGGUAAGGUGAGAUCCUGUCUCUAUGAAAAAUAUAUUAAAAAUUAGCUGGG